AGCAGCCGCGGUAAUUCCAGCUCCAAUAGCGUAUAUUAAAGUUGUUGCAGUUAAAAAGCUCGUAGUUGAAUUUCGGGGUCAGUAGGUUGGUCAUGCCUUUGGUAUGUACUGGUCUCACUGAUUCCUCCCUCUUGAAGAACUGUAAUGUCAUUAAUUUGGUGUUGCGGGGAAUCAGGACUGUUACUUUGAAAAAAAUUAGGGUGUUUAAAGCAGGCUUACGCUUGAAUACAUUAGCAUGGAAUAAUGAAAUAGGACGUCUGAUCCUAUUUUGUUGGUUUCUAGGAUUGACGUAAUGAUUAAUAGGGAUAGUUGGGGGCAUUAGUAUUCAAUUGUCAGAGGUGAAAUUCUUGGAUUUAUUGAAGACUAACUACUGCGAAAGCAUUUGCCAAGGAUGUUUUCAUUAAUCAAGAACGAAAGUUAGGGGAUCGAAGACGAUCAGAUACCGUCGUAGUCUUAACCAUAAACUAUGCCGACUAGGGAUCGGAUGAUGUUAAUUUUUUAAUGACUCAUUCGGCGCCUU
rnacentral:misc_RNA from 2 species